CGGGACGCGCGCCCCUCUCGGGGGUGAAGAUGUCCUGAAGCGGAUCGAGCACGAGGCGCCAACAAAAGAGGCCGGAGGGUGCCACCCGGGGGCGGCGGCAGGAAGACGAGCCUGAGGAAGAGCGCGGAGCUGGGCGUCCAGACCCGCCAUAUGUGAGGAUGUGAUACCUGGAGCAGUGGCAGCUAUCUUGUGACUAUGUGGAAACAACAUGAAGACAAUGGCCAACAUGAAGAUAGCGAAGUAGUUGUUGCUA